rnacentral:tRNA from 1 species
GCCGAGGUAGGAGAGGUCCUUGCGCAGCUUGGCGCUGUUGACGCCGGCCGCGGCGGCGAGGUCCUCGGAGGAGCAGGUGCGGGUGCCGCCCUCGGCC